AGUGGGAAAGGCUUUAAAAUGCUGCUUUGUUCCAAAGGCCAUUCUGCAAUGAUGAAGGGGGAUGAUUGAAAAGAGCUGGACUAAAUUGGUCUAACUAGGACACUUGAAGGCUUGUGAAUCAGUUCACACGAUCAGUGUGAAAAGCGGGUAUGAAGACCCAGAUGCUGGUGUGUACGUGUGCAUAUAAGCCCCAACAGCUAGAAAUCAAGCCUUUCUGGCUUCCGAUUGUUGGAGAAGUGGAAACAGUUAAUGGAGUAUGCAAUGAGUUCUGGCGGUCAGAAGUCCAAAAUGGGUCUUACACGACUAAAAUCCAGAUGUCGACAGGGAGGAAGAACUGAGGAUCCUACAUCAUGUUAGGGAGCAGCAAGAGCACUGUAAUUCUGCCAGAAACGGAGUAGAAAAACUGUGGCUCACCCGGGACCCAGUCUUUCCCCAGGUUCCCCACAGAUGAGCUCUGAAUCUGUUAUAAUUGACUCACCACGACCUGCAUGUACACAUGGAAUUCCUCAUGGCAUCCUUAGAUCUUUUUUGCCACAUCCUUUUGCUCUGACUCGAAGAGGAAGCCAACCCAUCUCUUCGCUGGCCUGUGCCACAGAUGCAUUCCAUGUCAAUACCAUCUGUGAUCCCGACGGAAAUGAUAGUUAAAAUUUGUUGCAUCUGUUAUUGAGCCUAUCUUUGUAGUAGGAGUAAUGAAAUUUGGCUUCCAAACUAAUUCAUCUUUAUGCAGAUAGCCCAAACUAACCUGCAAUUAAAACACUGAAAGUAGUCACAACUGGGAGAUACAAAAUAAAUGUGGGAAAAAGUUCUUUUUCAAUAAAGAAGCUUGAUUAGUUUGAGAAACAUCAACUCCAAGGACUAUAAUCUAAGCUGGUAGAAAUUAAAAUUAUGGGAAAAUAGAAUUUUGCCGAUAGACUUGAAACUGUGAAAAUAAGUAGUGUUUGAUAACCUGAAAUAAACUCUUUCUAAAGCACUAUUUUUAUAGUGGAACCAGGGGCAGCUAUUAUUUUGUUAUUAUUUUAAUUGUUUGUGAACAUAUGGGAUAAAGAAAAGGAGCAUGAAUGUGAUUGCAGCUACAGUAUAUCUAGAAGAGUCAAUUAAAUUUAUGUUCUAAAGGAGCAUAAGAAUGAUGAUUCUGUCACUCAGAAUUGAAGAUGUUUAAUGUAUAUUGUAAACUGGUAAUGUUUAAGAUUUUCAGAUAGUGUGUAUAUUGAUUAAACAAGAUAUUGAGAGAUUUCAAAUGGCCAAAAAGUAGAAUUGUCUUUAUGUAUAUCAAAAUAUAUUUUUGAAACUUCUGAAUUUCUCAGUCAUAUAAACAAUAAACAUCUACCUCUAGAAGAAAA
rnacentral:lncRNA from 1 species